GACGAACGCUGGCGGCGUGCCUAAUACAUGCAAGUUGAGCGCUGAAGGUUGGUACUUGUACCAACUGGAUGAGCAGCGAACGGGUGAGUAACGCGUGGGGAAUCUGCCUUUGAGCGGGGGACAACAUUUGGAAACGAAUGCUAAUACCGCAUAAAAACUUUAAACACAAGUUUUAAGUUUGAAAGAUGCAAUUGCAUCACUCAAAGAUGAUCCCGCGUUGUAUUAGCUAGUUGGUGAGGUAGAGGCUCACCAAGGCGAAGAUACAUAGCCGACCUGAGAGGGUGAUCGGCCAAAUUGGGACUGAGACACGGCCCAAACUCCUACGGGAGGCAGCAGUAGGGAAUCUUCGGCAAUGGACGAAAGUCUGACCGAGCAACGCCGCGGGGGUGAAGAAGGUUUUCGGAUCGUAAAACUCUGUUGGUAGAGAAGAACGUUGGUGAGAGUGGAAAGCGCAUCAAGUGACGGUAACUACCCAGAAAGGGACGGCUAACUACGUG
rnacentral:rRNA from 1 species